AGCAGCAGCCACGGUAAUACAGAGGUCUCAAGCGUUGUUCGGAUUCAUUGGGCGUAAAGGGUGCGUAGGCGGUCGGGUAAGUCGGAUGUGAAAUCCUGGGGCUCAACCUCAGAACUGCAUUCGAUACUGCUUGGCUAGAGGACUGGAGAGGAGACUGGAAUUCACGGUGUAGCAGUGAAAUGCGUAGAUAUCGUGAGGAAGACCAGCGGCGAAGGCGGGUCUCUGGACAGUUCCUGACGCUGAUGCACGAAGGCCAGGGGAGCAAAGGGGAUUAGAGACCCCAGUAGUCCCUGUCUCUUAUAC
rnacentral:rRNA from 1 species